rnacentral:rRNA from 1 species
GACGAACGCUGGCGGCGUGUUUAACACAUGCAAGUCGAACGAAGAGCGAUGGAAGCUUGCUUCUAUCAAUCUUAGUGGCGAACGGGUGAGUAACGCGUAAUCAACCUGCCCUUCAGAGGGGGACAACAGUUGGAAACGACUGCUAAUACCGCAUACGAUCUAAUCUCGGCAUCGAGGAUAGAUGAAAGGUGGCCUCUACAUGUAAGCUAUCACUGAAGGAGGGGAUUGCGUCUGAUUAGCUAGUUGGAGGGGUAACGGCCCACCAAGGCGAUGAUCAGUAGCCGGUCUGAGAGGAUGAACGGCCACAUUGGGACUGAGACACGGCCCAGACUCCUACGGGAGGCAGCAGUGGGGAAUCUUCCGCAAUGGACGAAAGUCUGACGGAGCAACGCCGCGUGAGUGAUGACGGCCUUCGGGUUGUAAAGCUCUGUUAAUCGGGACGAAAGGCCUUCUUGCGAAUAGUGAGAAGG